AUUGAACGCUGGCGGCGUGCUUAACACAUGCAAGUCGAGCGGUAACAGGCGUAGCAAUACGUGCUGACGAGCGGCGAACGGGUGCGUAAUACAUGGGAAUCUGCCUAGUAGUGGGGAAUAACCCGGCGAAAGCCGGGCUAAUGCCGCAUACGAUCCACGGAUGAAAGCGGGGGACCUUCGGGCCUCGCGCUAUUGGAUGAGCCCAUGUCGGAUUAGCUAGUUGGNGAGGUAACGGCUCACCAAGGCGACGAUCCGUAGCUGGUCUGAGAGGACGGCCAGCCACACUGGGACUGAGACACGGCCCAGACUCCUACGGGAGGCAGCAGUGGGGAAUAUUGGACAAUGGGGGUAACCCUGAUCCAGCGACGCCGCGUGUGUGAAGAAGGCCU
rnacentral:rRNA from 1 species